rnacentral:tRNA from 1 species
GCAUCGUUGGUCUAAUGGAUAAGGCAACAGGCUUCUAACCUGUCUGAUAUAGGUUCGAUUCCUAUACGAUGUG